rnacentral:rRNA from 1 species
AGCGAACGCUGGCGGCAGGCCUAACACAUGCAAGUCGAACGAACCCUUCGGGGUUAGUGGCGGACGGGUGAGUAACACGUGGGAACGUGCCUUUAGGUUCGGAAUAACUCAGGGAAACUUGUGCUAAUACCGAAUGUGCCCUUCGGGGGAAAGAUUUAUCGCCUUUAGAGCGGCCCGCGUCUAAAUAGCUAGUUGGUGAGGUAAAGGCUCACCAAGGCUACGAUCAGUAGCUGGUCUGAGAGGAUGACCAGCCACAUUGGGACUGAGACACGGCCCAAACUCCUACGGGAGGCAGCAGUGGGGAAUCUUGCGCAAUGGGCGAAAGCCUGACGCAGCCAUGCCGCGUGGAUGAUGAAGGUCUUAGGAUUGUAAAAUCCUUUCACCGGUGAAGAUAAUGACUGUAGCCGGAGAAGAAGCCCCGGCUAACUUCGUGCCAGCAGCCGCCGUAAUAC